GACGCCGCGUGAGUGAUGAAGGCCUUCGGGUCGUAAAGCUCUGUCCUUGGGGAAGAAGCAGUGACGGUACCUGAGGAGGAAGCCCCGGCUAACUACGUGCCAGCAGCCGCGGUAAUACGUAGGGGGCGAGCGUUGUCCGGAAUUAUUGGGCGUAAAGGGUGCGUAGGCGGCCUGGCAAGUCCGAUGUGAAAGGCCACGGCUUACCCGUGGGGUUGCAUUGGAAACUGUAGGGCUUGAGUGCUGGAGAGGGUAGUGGAAUACCCAGUGUAGCGGUGAAAUGCGUAGAUAUUGGGUGGAACACCAGUGGCGAAGGCGACUGCCUGGACGGAAACUGACGCUGAGGCACGAAAGCUAGGGGAGCAAACAGGAUUAGAUACCCUGGUAGUCCUAGCCGUAAACGAUGGGUACUAGGUGUAGGGGGUUUCGAUACCUUCUGUGCCGCAGUUAACGCAAUAAGUACCCCGCCUGGGGAUUACGGUCGCAAGACUGAAACUCAAAGGAAUUGACGGGGGCCCGCACAAGCGGUGGAGCAUGUGGUUUAAUUCGAAGCAACGCGAAGAACCUUACCAGGGCUUGACAUCCCUUGAAAGUCUCAGAGAUGAGAUUUCUCUUCGGAGCAAGGAGACAGGUGGUGCAUGGUUGUCGUCAGCUCGUGUCGUGAGAUGUUGGGUUAAGUCCCGCAACGAGCGCAACCCUUACCUUUAGUUGCCAUCAUUAAGUUGGGCACUCUAGAGGGACUGCCGGUGAC
rnacentral:rRNA from 1 species